CCCCCCGGGCAGCCGUCUGCCUGGACAAGGCUUAACGGGACGACUGCCGCUUGCUAGUACCUCCGCCGUUCCCGGGCAGACCGACACUGUCUUCCCGCGAAACAAAGACUGAUCCGGAUUUCAUCAAGGUUUCAUCAAGACCGUCCCAAAACAUUGUCCCUAUUUCUGGCCUACAACCAGACAUCAAAGGGACAGAGAGGAAUUGAAGUCUACACAGUGUGAAGAUAGCCCUUCCCACCGUGAUGGUGCUGCCCUUGAAGGCCAAAGGCACUGCUACAGCAAUGGGGAACACGACUGUGGUGCCAUUGAUGCCAGGGAAGGCGCUUGCUAGAGCUGAAACCAGCGGGGAAAGCUGCCAUUCCUACACAGAAGGAGAGCUUGCUGUUGCUUAGCAGCAGAGAGUUCCCCUAGGUCUGUUUGGAGAGGUGAACUAUGACAGAAACUGGACAAUGUUCCCAGGAGAUCAGAAAAAAUAGAAAAGUUGAUUCCCACCCCAAAAGUUGAUUCCCACCCCAAAACCCCACUCAGUGUUCCCCCUGCCUGGUGGCAAGGAGCCCUUCUGCAAAGCUCUGCCCUUUUGGUUGUGGCAGAAAGCAUAGAACUGAUGUUGAACAAUUUUCUGUGCCAAUCUACAAUUGCCGAGGCCCAGACAGCACCUAUGGAGAUAUUAUAGGUUUGACAGGCUGAUGCCCAGCUGCACAAGACAGAACUGCAUAAACAAGGGCUUGGACUUUGAUGAAAUGGCGCUUAGAAUUGAGAGAGCUGAGAGACCCAGACUGGAACCCUUUCUCUCCCUAAAGGAAUGUGAGUAUGCAUUUCUCAUGCCUGAAAGAAAAUUCCCUCAGUCAUCACAGCAGCUUCCUCUGCAUGUGUCUCUGUGACCUUACUCUUGAUCCCCUCUACUGCUCUACUUU